GGGUUAACGGACUUGUACUUACAUGCAGUUGUUCGCUGGUCCUCGAACGGGGGCAUGUGCACGCUCUGUUAACACAUCCACUCACACCCUGUGCACCCUCUGUAGUUCUGUGGCUGGGGGGCCUCGUCCUCCUGCUGUGGUUCUGCAUCUUUACACACACACUGUAACAAAGUCUUAUGGAAUGCAUCUGCGUUUAACGCAAUACAAUACAACUUUCAGCAACGGAUCUCUUGGCUCUCGCAUCGAUGAAGAACGCAGCGAAAUGCGAUAAGUAAUGUGAAUUGCAGAAUUCAGUGAAUCAUCGAAUCUUUGAACGCACCUUGCGCCCUUUGGCCAUUCCGAAGGGCAUGCCUGUUUGAGUAUCAUGAACACCUCAACUCUUCAUGGUUUUCUGUGAUGAGCUUGGACUUUGGGGGUUUUGCUGGCCUAUGGUUGGCUCCUCUAAAAUGAAUCAGCUUUCCAGUGUUUGGUGGGCGUCACAGGUGUGAUAACUAUCUACGCUUGUGGUUUUCUCACCAGGUAACCUUCAGCAGUGGAGGUUCGCUGGAGCUCAUAGAUGUCACUCCUCAGUGAGGACAACCCUUUGAAUGUUUGAUCUCAAAUCAGGUAGGACUACCCGCUGAACUUAAGCAUAUCAUAA
rnacentral:rRNA from 1 species